UCGCGGCCUAUCAGCUUGUUGGCGGGGUAAUGGCCCACCAAGGCGACGACGGGUAGCUGGUCUGAGAGGAUGGCCAGCCACAUUGGGACUGAGAGACGGCCCAGACUCCUACGGGAGGCAGCAGUGGGGAAUCUUGCGCAAUGGCCGAAAGGCUGACGCAGCGACGCCGCGUGUGGGAGGACGCCUUUCGGGGUGUAAACCACUGUUGCCCGGGACGAAUAUCCUCUUUAGAGAGGAUUGACGGUACCGGGUGAGGAAGCACCGGCUAACUCCGUGCCAGCAGCCGCGGUAAUACGGAGGGUGCGAGCGUUGUCCGGAAUCAUUGGGCGUAAAGGGCGCGUAGGUGGCGGGACAAGCGUGCGGUGAAAGCUCGGGGCUCAACCCCGAGUCGGCCGUGCGAACUGUUUUGCUGGAGCACUGUAGAGGCAGGCGGAAUUCCGGGUGUAGCGGUGGAAUGCGUAGAGAUCCGGAAGAACACCGGUGGCGAAGGCGGCCUGCUGGGCAGUUGCUGACACUGAGGCGCGACAGCGUGGGGAGCAAACAGGAUUAGAUACCCUGGUAGUCCACGCCGUAAACGAUGGGCACUAGGCGCUUGGGGGAGCGACCCCCCGAGGGCCGUAGCUAACGCAUUAAGUGCCCCGCCUGGGGAGUACGG
rnacentral:rRNA from 1 species